AUUGGUAUCUUGGUCUUUUGGCUAAGAUCAAAUGUUUUUGGUACCAAGGGGAAUAUGUCAGGGCUGGCUCUGGUCUUCUCUGUGCUGGCCUGGUCUUGUAGUAUCUCCAGGGCUAGUGCUAUUUCC
rnacentral:snRNA from 1 species